rnacentral:rRNA from 1 species
AUUGAACGCUGGCGGCAGGCCUAACACAUGCAAGUCGAGCGGAUGAAGGGAGCUUGCUCCUGGAUUCAGCGGCGGACGGGUGAGUAAUGCCUAGGAAUCUGCCUGGUAGUGGGGGAUAACGUCCGGAAACGGGCGCGAAUACCGCAUACGACCUGAGGGAGAAAGUGGGGGAUCUUCGGACCUCACGCUAUCAGAUGAGCCUAGGUCGGAUUAGCUAGUUGGUGGGGUAAAGGCCUACCAAGGCGACGAUCCGUAACUGGUCUGAGAGGAUGAUCAGUCACACUGGAACUGAGACACGGUCCAGACUCCUACGGGAGGCAGCAGUGGGGAAUCUUGGACAAUGGGCGAAAGCCUGAUCCAGCCAUGCCGCGUGUGUGAAGAAGGUCUUCGGAUUGUAAAGCACUUUAAGUUGGGAGGAAGGGCAGUAAGUUAAUCCCUUGCUGUUUUGACGUUACCAACAGAAUAAGCACCGGCUAACUUCGUG